rnacentral:rRNA from 1 species
UACGUAGGGGGCGAGCGUUGUCCGAAGUUACUGGGCGUAAAGAGCGCGUAGGCGGGCUUUUAAGUGAGAGGUGAAAGGUUCGGGCUCAACCCGGAGAGUGCCUUUCAUACUGGGAGCCUUGAGUGCGGGAGAGGCAAGUGGAAUGGUCGGUGUAGCGGUGAAAUGCGCAGAUAUCAGGAGGAACACCGGUGGCGAAGGCGGGACUCUGGGCCGAUACUGACGCUGAGGAGCGAAAGCGUGGGGAGCAAACAGG